UACGUAUGGUGCAAGCGUUAUCCGGAUUUACUGGGUGUAAAGGGAGCGCAGGCGGUGCGGCAAGUCUGAUGUGAAAGCCCGGGGCUCAACCCCGGUACUGCAUUGGAAACUGUCGUACUAGAGUGUCGGAGGGGUAAGCGGAAUUCCUAGUGUAGCGGUGAAAUGCGUAGAUAUUAGGAGGAACACCAGUGGCGAAGGCGGCUUACUGGACGAUAACUGACGCUGAGGCUCGAAAGCGUGGGGAGCAAACAGGAUUAGAAACCCAGUCCGGCUGACUGACU
rnacentral:rRNA from 1 species